ensembl:lncRNA
GGACCAAUAUGGGGCGAAUAUGGGGCCAUGGGGGGCAAUAUGGGGCAGAGAUGGGGCCAAUAUGAGGCCAAAAAAGGGCGAAUAUGUGACGAAUAUGGGGCCAUGGGGGGCAAUAUGGGGCAGAGAUGGGGCCAAUAUGGGGCGAAUAUGGGGUGAAUAUGGGGCCAAUGUGGGGCUGGGGGGCCAAUAUGGGGCGAAUAUGGGGCCAUGGGGGGCAAUACGGGGCAGAGAUGGGGCGAAUAUGGGGCCAUGGGGGUCAAUAUGGGGCAGAGAUGGGGCGAAUAUGGGGCCAUGGGGGGCAAUAUGGGGCAGAGAUGGGGCCAAUAUGGGGCCAUGGGGGGCAAUAUGGGGCAGAGAUGGGGCCACUAUGGGGCCAAUAUGGGGCGAAUAUGGGUCCGGGGGGCCAAUAUGGGGCCAAAAAAGGGCGAAUAUGGGGUGAAUAUGGGGCCAAUGUGGGGCUGGGGGGCCAAUAUGGGGCGAAUAUGGGGCCAUGGGGGCCAAUAUGGGGCAGAGAUGGGGGCUUCCGAGUGGGUGUGGACGCACCUCUCCCCACGGCAGCGCGUGGAUGUGGGGCGGCGGCAGCAGCAGCAGCAGCAGAGCGGUGACGGUGGCG